rnacentral:rRNA from 1 species
GUGUCAGCCGCCGCGGUAAUACGUAGGUGGCGAGCGUUGUCCGGAAUUACUGGGUGUAAAGGGCGUGUAGGCGGGGAUGCAAGUCAGAUGUGAAAUACUAAGGCUUAACCUUGGGGCUGCAUCUGAAACUGUGUUUCUUGAGUGUCGGAGAGGAAAGCGGAAUUCCCAGUGUAGCGGUGAAAUGCGUAGAGAUUGGGAGGAACACCAGUGGCGAAGGCGGCUUUCUGGACGACAACUGACGCUGAGGCGCGAAAGCGUGGGGAGCAAACAGGAUUAGAUACCCUGGUAGUCCACGCCGUAAACGACGGAUACUAGGUGUAGGAGGUAUCGACCCCUUCUGUGCCGGAGUUAACACAAUAAGUAUCCCACCUGGGGAGUACGGCCGUAAGGUUGAAACUUAAAGAAAUUGGCGG